AUGUUCCUCUCUCCCCGUGAACCCGGUGGGAGCGUCAGUCCCACCCCGACAGGUGCCGCACCCGCAGUGAGCCGGGGCAGGUGUCAUACCCUCUGGGGGCUGGGGCAGGUGCCAUGCCCGGGGGAGCAUGCAGAGGUGCCGGCCCCGGGGGAACAUGCAGAGGUGCCGCCCCUGCGGGGAGCCUGGAGAGGUGCUGCACCUGCGGGGAGCACGGAGAGGUGCUGCACCUGCGGGGAGCCUGGAGAGGUGCUGCACCUGCGGGGAGCACGGAGAGGUGCUGCACCUGCGGGGAGCCUGGAGAGGUGCUGCACCUGCGGGGAGCAUGCAGAGGUGCCGGCCCUGGGGGAGCACGGAGAGGCCACAUCCGCGGGGCGUGGCGGCAAGUGUCGCACCCACCUGGCAGGGCAGGGCAGGUGCCGCACCCUCGGGCAGCCGCGGUGGGACCAGGUGGUGGGCGGGGCGCACCUGGCGGGCGCCCCUGGGCCGCGGGGAAGGAGGCCCAGUCUCAGAAGCCGGGUAAACAAACAGGGCCCGGCCGCUUGUCCCCAUCGGGCCCCUGCUUCCACCCCCUUUGCUCCCAGCCGCCCCCGUGUGGCCCAGGCUCCGACACUACACNNNNNNNNNNNNNNNNNNNNNNNNNNNNNNNNNNNNNNNNNNNNNNNNNNNAGCUGGUCCGUUCGCUCCUGCUCUUGCGGAUCCAAGAAGAGCCCCCCCACCCCCGGGAGCCAAAGAUGGACCAGGCCGUCGGCUUCCCCCCGCAGCCCUGCUCGCUCCCGGGCCCCCUACCCCCACCCCGACGACCCACGCGGGAGCCUCCGAUCCACAGGCAGGCGAGCGGCGCCCUCUGCCGCCAGAGCCGCGGAUGCGCGGGCGCCCGUCGCGGGGCGACCUGGAGAGGCUCCUGGGCUCCUCCAGGGGAGGGGAGGCCCGGGUCCCUGCGGGGCAGGCCUGGGGUGUUGGCCUAGGCCCUCAGUCCGCGUCGCCCCCCGAGCUCCCCGGGGCGCUCCUGGAUAUGCACAGAGCGAACCCGGGAGCCGCUGGCCCAGAUGCAGAGGCGCAGUGCUCCCCGCGGGCGCGCGUCCUCCCCGGCCGGCUGCGUGGGGCCCAGUGUUUCUCAUCCUCGCUGGUUGCCCUGGUGUUGCUAUUCCAAGUGUUUCUAGCAAUAAAUAA
rnacentral:lncRNA from 1 species